GACGAACGCCGGCGGCGUGCUUAACACAUGCAAGUCGAACGAUGAAGCACCAGCUUGCUGGUGUGGAUUAGUGGCGAACGGGUGAGUAACACGUGAGUAACCUGCCCCUCACUCUGGGAUAAGCCUGGGAAACUGGGUCUAAUACUGGAUACGACCGAUCUCCGCAUGGAGUGUUGGUGGAAAGUUUUUGUGGUGGGGGAUGGACUCGCGGCCUAUCAGCUUGUUGGUGGGGUAAUGGCCUACCAAGGCGACGACGGGUAGCCGGCCUGAGAGGGCGACCGGCCACACUGGGACUGAGACACGGCCCAGACUCCUACGGGAGGCAGCAGUGGGGAAUAUUGCACAAUGGGCGAAAGCCUGAUGCAGCGACGCCGCGUGAGGGAUGACGGCCUUCGGGUUGUAAACCUCUUUCACCAGGGACGAAGCUAACGUGACGGUACCUGGAGAAGAAGCACCGGCUAACUACGUG
rnacentral:rRNA from 1 species